rnacentral:lncRNA from 1 species
UCUGAACUGACAAUCUACGUCUAUAUUUACAUACUACCAUACUAAAACGAUAUUAUCAGAAAGAGUUUAGGGAGGAAAGUAACUCAGACCGUGAGAAGUCCUCGGGGAGCUGUGAUAGAGGUGUCAGUCAGUACAACGAGGCAGCGUGGGAGCACUGGGCCAGUCGGACGAAGAUGACGUGCUGGGGCAGGAGUAAGGUUCAUCUCAGGGGUUUCAGCUCGCGUUUUGCUUUCUCCGAUUUAAGACAAAUGUUAGCUGACAUAUUGGAUGGCUGCCAAGAUCCUCACCUUGCCUUCAAAACUCAACCAUACCACAAACUUCUUCUAGAAGACAAGACAACGUACCAAUAUCUGAAUGGCUGACCUGUCUGGUAUCAGCACCUUUGAAGCACUAGAAUUUAUAGUGCCACAGCCUACACAGCCACAUCCAAAUCCCAAGAACUAGAACCUGCAAGGAUUGAAUGACCGACCUUGAGUAAUCCUUGUUUUGCUGCUGUUGUAUCUGAUGUGCAUCCUCACCCAAGUGUUGAGAGGAGGAAGAGGAGGAAGCUCAGCAUCAAGGAGCUGGACUGGGCAGCCUACCUAAAGGACUACAUAAGGUCCUCCAGAGCCUCUUUCACGAGACAUGGCCUGCCCCGCUAGUCACAAACUGCCUGACAUCUGCUGCUGCGUGGCCUCCAUCCUCAGCUGCAAGGUCACCACAACUUUUGGCACUGUCUUUAGAACUCUUCCCCCAAGUAGACAUCCAGUGUUGAUGGAGUGCUAAACCAGCAACAUACAGCCAAGGUCAUAGGCAUCUCAGUGAAUAACGUCUUCAUGUUCCAUUAGUGACUUCUCCAUCUCAUCCACCUGCCCGGGAGUCAAAUUGGCAGCACUUCUCAUCACGUGCAUAGCUGUUGUUCACCACUGCCUUGCAUUUUGAAGCUGCUACAAUGACAUUUGCACCUUCGACUUCCUUCACGCUUCAUCAGUGUAGCUCCAGUCCCUCAUCCUCAACAUCUGAACCACCCACAGGGCUCUCAACCUAUUCAGCAGCAUCUUCAAGAAACAGCAUAUGGUUUCACCUUCAUCUUCAUUCUUCUGAGGUCUACACCAGUCCAGCCCCAACAGGCAAGGUUCUUCCAUGUCAUCCACAAUACCUGGUAGCUCUUCCUUGACACCACCCACCACGAUCUCUGAUAUCACAGGGAAACAUAGCAUCAUAUGAUGGCCAGUUACACCACCAUUUUCAAUGCUACUUCACCUCUGUUCUGCCUCAUCUCACUGGUUUCCCAUUUCAUUUUCUGUACCAUUUCACACCUUUCUUGUUUCCAUUCAUGUAUAUUCUGUGUCAACUCAAGUCAUGUUCCCCAUUAUUUUCCAUCCCUGCUCUCUACUUCUUAAGUCUGAAUCAGCCAUGGUGCCACUAGCCAAAACUUCAGUCUUUAUCCCACUCCUAACACUACUGUUACAGUGUGUGCUUUUUAAUCCUGAUCUGCUGACACUAACUGUUACAACUGCCCUUUUGUCCUUGCAGCCUCCACCACAGCCACUGACCAAGAACUCUACCAUUUACCACAGUGGCUGACCGAGAGGCACAGGACGAAGGUGAUAACUCACCUGGAAUCAUAGACAUGGCCUCAUUGGCUGCACAAAGAUGAUGCAGCACAUUUAUAAGUACCUUUCACUUACCAGUUACACUAGACAAUGACUCAGACAGACAUAAAGAGGCAGGGCACAAGUUCUUAGUUUACUGGUACAAAGAAAACUUACAAAGUACAGAUCGUGGCUACAUAACAUAUAGUGCAAUGAUUCUCAAACUGGCAGGAAUUUAGGUCGGCCAUGUGGGCUGUUGGACAGUAUACAUUUCUAAAUAAUGUUAGGAAUCUGAAUUGAAAAAAAAAUGCAUCAUUGUCCUGGCAAAGAAAAUUUUCUUUUUUAAUUAAGUUGACAUUAUAUUCUUUUACAUAUUGUUAUGAAUGUGCAUACAUACGUAUGUAUGUAUGUAUGUGUGCAUAAUUGUAAUUGUUUGUGCAGUGUAGAUAUGAUAAAAAGCGCUGAGGAGAAUAAACGUGUAUGAGGCGAGUGAGAGAAGGGUGAGUCACCAGGACACAGGAGAGAGAUGAUCCACAAUAUGAUAUCACUGUAAGAAUAUAGGUAUAAUUGACUCUGAACCAUACAAUGUGUUAUAUAUUUUGAUCAACAAUUAUAAAUGUGGUUGCUGUUUAUUGUGUGUGAAAUAUUUUUACUGCUCAUUUAUCAGUUUAUUACUUUUUGGUAUCCUUGUUUUUCAUGGUCAUUCCCUACAUAGGUAUUCCUGCUUUUUUUUUUUUUCUAGUGCUAAUAUGGAUGUGACUCACUAUUCUUGUUAUUAUUUCAACUGGGAUAGUGUUUGUCAAAAGAGGCGUGUUCUUGCUGUUAGAAAAUACAUUUCAGCUUGCUUGCUUGUGUGUGAAUGUUUAAAACUUUAUCAUAUUUACUCUCUCUCUUUGUGUAUAUUUAUGUAUGACUGUGUUUGUGCAUAAAAUGUGAUUCCAUGGAUCUGUUAUGUAUGCUGAUAUUUAUGUGUUUGUCAUUUUAUCACUUGUCCUAGUGUUCUGUCCAUUAUCAUUCUUUUGUCUUCAUACUGACAUACUCAAUGUUCUUCUGCUGUCCUGUCUUCUUUAUUUUCAAUACAUUUGCAAUGGUUACUAGUAUUACUAACAAGCAGAAGUACAGUGAAGAGUACAUUAACUACGGAUUUACAUCACUCCUCACUGAUGGCAUCAAGAAACCUCAGUGUGUACUGUGCUUUAAAGUGCUGGGGAAUGAUUCAAUGAGGCCUAGUAAGUUGAAGCACCAUUUGCAGACCAUCCAUGCACAUUAUGCUGAGAAAGACACCAAUUUUUUCAGGCGCCACAAAAGUAGUUUGGGAAAACAGAAACUGGAUGAGACCAGUGCUUUCCAACAACAGACCUCAAGUGUAGUUGAGGCAUCAUACGAGGUUGCCCUUGACAUAGUAAAGAAAAGAAGCUCCACACAAUUGGUGAAACCUUAAUCAAGCUUUGUACUUUAAAGAUGGUCAAGUGUGUUCUUGGAGAUGCAAGUGAACGUGAAAUUUCCUUGUCAAACGACACAGUGAAGUGGAGACUUAAUGAAAUGUCAGAUGACAUAAAGGCAAAAGUGAUACAUGAGAUCAAAUCAUCUCAAACUGGUAUGUUUGCAAUACAGCUGGAUGAGUCAACGGAUGUUCGUUAGAUAUGUUUUCUUGUGUGGUAUCAAGGAAGAAUAUCUGUUAUGUAAACAGCUUGAGACCACCUCAACAGCUGAAGGUGUGAUGGAAAAGCUAUAUUCUUUCUUCAAGGCUAACAGGAUCCCCUGAGAAAAUUGUUGUGGAGUCUGUACAGACGGGGCUCCAGCAAUGCUGGGAUAAAAAUUUGGUUUUCAGAAGUGUGUCAAGGAAGUAGCUCUGAAUGCCAAGGGGGUUUAUUGUAUGAUCCAUUGUCUUGCACCCUCCCUGAUGAAGCUCGAGCUCUAAACUCUCACCUUUUCUAGAAACUUUGUACUGUAUUACACACCAGCAGUAAACUGAAGGAGUUGUGCCAAGUGUUUCAUGUAUCCUGCCUCUCUGAGUAAGUCUGCCUGAGUCUGGUGAGUAGGGGUGGGCACUUAACGACUCCGGAGUCGACUCCGCUGACUCCAAGUCCAAGGGCCUGGAGUCGACUCCACGCCUUAACGACUCCAGUCACAACAGCAUGUAAAAGUGUAUACUGCUUGAGCCUUGAGGUGACAAUAUCACUUUUAUUUUGACAAAACUGACGAGAAUGUAUAUAACUUUGA